GACGUAGGGCGCGAGCGUUGUCCGGAUUUAUUGGGCGUAAAGAGCUCGUAGGCGGCUUGUCGCGUCGUUCGUGAAAACCUAAGGCUCAACCUUGGGCUUGCAGUGGGUACGGGCAGACUAGAGUGCGGUAGGGGUGACUGGAAUUCCUGGUGUAGCGGUGGAAUGCGCAGAUAUCAGGAGGAACACCGAUGGCGAAGGCAGGUAACUGGGCCGCAACUGACGCUGAGGAGCGAAAGCAUGGGGAGCGAACAGG
rnacentral:rRNA from 1 species